GAUGGCAAUACAGCAGAUGACUUAAGGAAUGCUGAGACAUUAAUUUGUAUGCAUACAACUUUGGGAAAGUAUGAACAUCCAAUGUUGAAAAUGAACUAAAAGAUACUGAUUAUAAAGAAUUUAUGCAAUGUACGUGUAAUGGUUAUUAGAUGGCAAUACAGCAGAUGACUCAAGGAAUGCUGAGACAUUUAUUUGUAUGCAUACGUAUUUGGGAAAGUAUGAACAUCCAAUGUUGAAAAUGAACUAAAAGAUACUGAUUAUAAAGAAUUUAUGCAAUAUGGCAAUACAGCAGAUGACUCAAGGAAUGCUGAGACAUUUAUUUGUAUGCAUACAACUUUGGGAAAGUAUGAACAUUCAAUGUUGAAAAUUAACUAAAAGUUACUGAUUAUAAAGAAUUUAUGCAAUGUACGUGUAAUGGUUAUUAGAUGGCAAUACAGCAGAUGACUCAAGGAAUGCUGAGACAUUUAUUUGUAUGCAUACAACUUUGGGAAAGUAUGAACAUUCAAUGUUGAAAAUUAACUAAAAGUUACUGAUUAUAAAGAAUUUAUGCAAUGUACGUGUAAUGGUUAUUAGAUGGCAAUACAGCAGAUGACUCAAGGAAUGCUGAGACAUUUAUUUGUAUGCAUACAACUUUGGGAAAGUAUGAACAUUCAAUGUUGAAAAUUAACUAAAAGUUACUGAUUAUAAAGAAUUUAUGCAAUGUACGUGUAAUGGUUAUUAGAUGGCAAUACAGCAGAUGACUCAAGGAAUGCUGAGACAUUUAUUUGUAUGCAUACAACUUUGGGAAAGUAUGAACAUUCAAUGUUGAAAAUUAACUAAAAGUUACUGAUUAUAAAGAAUUUAUGCAAUGUACGUGUAAUGGUUAUUAGAUGGCAAUACAGCAGAUGACUCAAGGAAUGCUGAGACAUUUAUUUGUAUGCAUACAACUUUGGGAAAGUAUGAACAUUCAAUGUUGAAAAUUAACUAAAAGUUACUGAUUAUAAAGAAUUUAUGCAAUGUACGUGUAAUGGU